UCCGUAGGCGGGAGGACAAGUCUGACGUGAAAGCGCCCGGCUCAACUGGGCGAGUGCGUUGGAAACUGUCUUUCUUGACUCACGCAGAGGUCGGCGGAAUUCCCGGUGUAGUGGUGGAAUGCGUAGAGAUCGGGAGGAACCUCGAAAGCGAAGGCAGCCGACUAGGGGAUGAGUGACGCUGAGGGACGAAAGCGUGGGGAGCGAACAGGAUUAGAUACCCUGGUAGUCCACGCCGUAAACGAUGUGUGCUAGGUAUCUGGGAGUCACAUCUUGGGUGCCGCAGCUAACGCGUUAAGCACACCACCUGGGGAGUACGGCCGCAAGGCUAAA
rnacentral:rRNA from 1 species